UACGAAGGGGGCUAGCGUUGUUCGGAAUCACUGGGCGUAAAGCGUACGUAGGCGGAUUGUUAAGUCAGGGGUGAAAUCCCGAGGCUCAACCUCGGAACUGCCUUUGAUACUGGCUGUCUUGAGUCCGGGAGAGGUGAGUGGAACUCCUAGUGUAGAGGUGAAAUUCGUAGAUAUUAGGAAGAACACCAGUGGCGAAGGCGGCUCACUGGCCCGGAACUGACGCUGAUGUACGAAAGCGUGGGGAGCAAACAGG
rnacentral:rRNA from 1 species